AAGUCGUAACAAGGUUUCCGUAGGUGAACCUGCGGAAGGAUCAUUAACAAUUCCAACUUUAUUACAUUCACCUUUGUGAACUGACCGUCUCUCAGCGUGACGUCAAGUCUGCUGGAGACAGAGUGCGAGCAAGUAGUAACAGGUAGGCAAAGUCUGCGCAAGCAGCUUGUCGCCAGAUACUACAGCCUCCACACUAUAUAGACUAAUUUGUGUGACUAAGUUAGUAUAAGUGCUAGCGGUGUUUCACUGCUAGCAUGCAUUAAAUAAUACAACUUUUAACAGUGGAUCUCUUGGCUCCU
rnacentral:misc_RNA from 1 species